rnacentral:rRNA from 1 species
UACGGAGGGUGCAAGCGUUAAUCGGAAUUACUGGGCGUAAAGCGUGCGCAGGCGGUUUGUUAAGUCUGCUGUGAAAUCCCCGAGCUCAACUUGGGAAUUGCAGUGGAUACUGGCAAGCUGGAGUACGGUAGGGGCCCACGGAACUCCUGGUGUAGCGGUGAAAUGCGCAGAUAUCAGGCAGAACACCGGUGGCGAAGGCGGUGGGCUGGGCCGGCACUGACGCUGAGGAGCGAAAGCGUGGGGAGCGAACAGG